rnacentral:rRNA from 1 species
UUGGAGGGCAAGUCUGGUGCCGGCAGCCGCGGUAAUUCCAGCUCCAAUAGCGUAUAUUAAAGUUGCUGAGGUUAAAAAGCUCGUAGUUGAACCUUGGGCCUAGCCGGCCGGUCCGCCUCACCGCGUGCACUGGCUCGGCUGGGUCUUUCCUUCUGGAGAACCGCAUGCCCUUCACUGGGUGUGCCGGGGAACCAGGACUUUUACUCUGAACAAAUUAGAUCGCUUAAAGAAGGCCUAUGCUCGAAUACAUUAGCAUGGAAUAAUAGAAUAGG